UGGGGAAUUUUUGGACAAUGGGCGAAAGCCUGAUCCAGCAAUGCCGCGUGUGUGAAGAAGGCCUUCGGGUUGUAAAGCACUUUUGUCCGGAAAGAAAUCCUUGGCUCUAAUACAGUCGGGGGAUGACGGUACCGGAAGAAUAAGCACCGGCUAACUACGUGCCAGCAGCCGCGGUAAUACGUAGGGUGCAAGCGUUAAUCGGAAUUACUGGGCGUAAAGCGUGCGCAGGCGGUUUGCUAAGACCGAUGUGAAAUCCCCGGGCUCAACCUGGGAACUGCAUUGGUGACUGGCAGGCUAGAGUAUGGCAGAGGGGGGUAGAAUUCCACGUGUAGCAGUGAAAUGCGUAGAGAUGUGGAGGAAUACCGAUGGCGAAGGCAGCCCCCUGGGCCAAUACUGACGCUCAUGCACGAAAGCGUGGGGAGCAACAGGAUUAGAUACCCUGGUAGUCCACGCCCUAAACGAUGUCAACUAGUUGUUGGGGAUUCAUUUCCUUAGUAACGUAGCUAACGCGUGAAGUUGACCGCCUGGGGAGUACGGUCGCAAGAUUAAAAC
rnacentral:rRNA from 1 species